GAUGAACGCUGGCGGCGUGCUUAACACAUGCAAGUCGAACGAUGAAGCCCAUCUUGCUGGGUGGAUUAGUGGCGAACGGGUGAGUAACACGUGAGUAACCUGCCCUUGACUCUGGGAUACUCCUGGGAAACUGGGUCUAAUACUGGAUAUGACUUCUCAUCGCAUGGUGGGGGGUGGAAAGAUUUAUUGGUCUUGGAUGGACUCGCGGCCUAUCAGCUUGUUGGUGAGGUAAUGGCUCACCAAGGCGACGACGGGUAGCCGGCCUGAGAGGGUGACCGGCCACACUGGGACUGAGACACGGCCCAGACUCCUACGGGAGGCAGCAGUGGGGAAUAUUGCACAAUGGGCGAAAGCCUGAUGCAGCGACGCCGCGUGAGGGAUGACGGCCUUCGGGUUGUAAACCUCUUUCAGUAGGGAAGAAGCGAGAGUGACGGUACCAGCAGAAGAAGCGCCGGCUAACUACGUG
rnacentral:rRNA from 1 species